AAACCAACCGGGAUUGCCUUAGUAACGGCGAGUGAAGCGGCAAAAAGCUCAAAUUUGAAAUCUGGUACCUUCGGUGCCCGAGUUGUAAUUUGGAGAGGGCAACUUUGGGGCCGUUCCUUGUCUAUGUUCCUUGGAACAGGACGUCAUAGAGGGUGAGAAUCCCGUGUGGCGAGGAGUGCGGUUCUUUGUAAAGUGCCUUCGAAGAGUCGAGUUGUUUGGGAAUGCAGCUCUAAGUGGGUGGUAAAUUCCAUCUAAAGCUAAAUAUUGGCGAGAGACCGAUAGCGAACAAGUACAGUGAUGGAAAGAUGAAAAGAACUUUGAAAAGAGAGUGAAAAAGUACGUGAAAUUGUUGAAAGGGAAGGGCAUUUGAUCAGACAUGGUGUUUUGUGCCCUCUGCUCCUUGUGGGUAGGGGAAUCUCGCAUUUCACUGGGCCAGCAUCAGUUUUGUGGCAGGAUAAAUCCAUGGAAUGUAGCUUGCCUCGGUAAGUAUUAUAGCCUGUGGGAAUACUGCC
rnacentral:rRNA from 1 species